rnacentral:tRNA from 1 species
GCGGGUGUAAUUCAGUGGUAGAAUUCCAGCCUUCCAAGCUGGCAGCGUGGGUUCGAUUCCCAUCACCCGCUCCA